AAAAAAUAUUGCCUUUAGAACAUAGUAAAUAACAACAUCAUAGAAAAUGGCAAAAGGUAUCUUUGCACAGUUCGAAUUUGGUCAUUCAUUGGUAACUGCUUAUAUAGUUUUAUUACUGUUAGUGUUAUUAUUGGGACUUCUAGCUAAUGUCUUACUCUGUACCACAAUCUGUAGCAGUGUGAGAUUUAGACUGACUCCAAGCGACAUGUUUGUGUGUGCUAUGGCC